rnacentral:miRNA from 1 species
ACCUCUGAGUCUGAUCGGAAGC